AGCAGCCGCGGUAAUUCCAGCCCCAAUAGCGUAUAUUAAAGUUGUUGCAGUUAAAAAGCUCGUAGUUGAAUUUCGGGAUCAGUAUGUUGGUCGUGCUUCGGUACGUACUGUCAUUACUGGUUUCUACCUUCUGAAGAACCUUGAUGUCAUUAAUUUGGUGUCUUGGGGAAUCAGGACUGUUACUUUGAAAAAAUUAGAGUGUUUAAAGCAAGCAUACGCUUGAAUACAUUAGCAUGGAAUAAUGAAAUAGGACGUUUUGAUUCUAUUUUUGUUGGUUUUCUAGGAUCGACGUAAUGAUUAAUAGGGAUAGUUGGGGGGCAUUAGUAUUCAAUUGUCAGAGGUGAAAUUCUUGGAUUUAUUGAAGACUAACUACUGCGAAAGCAUUUGCCAAGGAUGUUUUCAUUAAUCAAGAACGAAAGUUAGGGGAUCGAAGACGAUCAGAUACCGUCGUAGUCUUAACCAUAAACUAUGCCGACUAGGGAUCGGAUGAUGUUAUUUUUAAUGACUCAUUCGGCGCCUU
rnacentral:rRNA from 1 species